CCUACGGGAGGCAGCAGUGGGGAAUAUUGCACAAUGGGCGCAAGCCUGAUGCAGCGACGCCGCGUGAGGGAUGACGGCCUUCGGGUUGUAAACCUCUUUCAGUAGGGAAGAAGCGAAAGUGACGGUACCUGCAGAAGAAGCGCCGGCUAACUACGUGCCAGCAGCCGCGGUAAUACGUAGGGCGCAAGCGUUAUCCGGAAUUAUUGGGCGUAAAGAGCUCGUAGGCGGUUUGUCGCGUCUGCCGUGAAAGUCCGGGGCUCAACUCCGGAUCUGCGGUGGGUACGGGCAGACUAGAGUGAUGUAGGGGAGACUGGAAUUCCUGGUGUAGCGGUGAAAUGCGCAGAUAUCAGGAGGAACACCGAUGGCGAAGGCAGGUCUCUGGGCAUUAACUGACGCUGAGGAGCGAAAGCAUGGGGAGCGAACAGGAUUAGAUACCCUGGUAGUCCAUGCCGUAAACGUUGGGCACUAGGUGUGGGGGACAUUCCACGUUUUCCGCGCCGUAGCUAACGCAUUAAGUGCCCCGCCUGGGGGAGGUACGGCCGCGAGACGUAAACUACGAAGAAGUAGACGGCGUGAGACGUCGCCGACGGACGACGACGAGGGAGAGG
rnacentral:rRNA from 1 species